rnacentral:rRNA from 1 species
UAGUCCACGCCCUAAACGAUGCUAACUCGAUGUUUGGUUCGUAGAAUCGAGCGUCCUAGGGAAACCGUUAAGUUAGCCACCUGGGGAGUACGAUCGCAAGGUUGAAACUCAAAGGAAUUGACGGGGGCCCGCACAAGCGGUGGAGCAUGUGGUUUAAUUCGACGCAACGCGAAGAACCUUACCUGGGUUUAAAUUGCGGUGGACAGCUCCAGAGAUGGAGUCUCCCUUCGGGGCUGCCGUGAAGGUGCUGCAUGGCUGUCGUCAACUCGUGUCGUGAGAUGUUGGGUUAAGUCCCGCAACGAGCGCAACCCCUACCCUUAGUUGCCAGCGGUUCGGCCGGGAACUCUAGGGGGACUGCCGGUGAUAACCGGAGGAAGGUGGGACGACGUCAAGUCAUCAUGGCCUUUAUGUCCAGGGGCUACACACGUGCUACAAUGGUCGGUACAAAGGGGUUGCGAUACCGCGAGGUGGGAGCCAAUCCCAAAAAGCCGACCUCAGUUCGGGAUAGCAGUCUGCAACUCGACUGCUUG